UACGAAGGGGGCUAGCGUUGUUCGGAUUUACUGGGCGUAAAGCGCACGUAGGCGGAUUGUUAAGUCAGGGGUGAAAUCCUGGAGCUCAACUCCAGAACUGCCUUUGAUACUGGCAAUCUAGAGUCCGGAAGAGGUGAGUGGAACUCCUAGUGUAGAGGUGGAAUUCGUAGAUAUUAGGAAGAACACCAGUGGCGAAGGCGGCGACCUGGUCCGUUACUGACGCUGAGGCGCGACAGCGUGGGGAGCAAACAGG
rnacentral:rRNA from 1 species